UCCCUGGUGGCUCAGACGGUAAAGUGUCUGCCUACAAUGCGGGAGACCCGGGUUCAAUCCCUGGGUAGGGAA
rnacentral:tRNA from 1 species